rnacentral:rRNA from 1 species
GACGAACGCUGGCGGCGUGCCUAACACAUGCAAGUCAACUUGAAGGAAGGAGCAAUCUGACCUGAUGGUGGCGCAAGGGUGCGUAACGCGUAAGUAACUUGCCCAAGGUAAGGAAUAACGUCGAGAAAUCGGCGCUAAUACCUCAUAAUGCAGCGGACCCGCAUGGGUAUGUUGUUAAAAGGUUUACCGCCUUGGGAUAGGCUUGCGUCUGAUUAGCUAGUUGGUGUGGUAACGGCACACCAAGGCUACGAUCAGUAACUGGUCUGAGAGGAUGAUCAGUCACACUGGAACUGAGACACGGUCCAGACUCCUACGGGAGGCAGCAGUGAGGAAUAUUGGGCAAUGCACGAAAGUGUGACCCAGCAACGCCGCGUGGAGGAUGAAGGUAUUCUAUAUCGUAAACUCCUGUGAGAG